rnacentral:rRNA from 1 species
GAUGAACGCUGGCGGCGUGCCUAAUACAUGCAAGUCGAGCGAACGGACGAGAAGCUUGCUUCUCUGAUUUUAGCGGCGGACGGGUGAGUAACACGUGGAUAACCUACCUAUAAGACUGGGAUAACUUCGGGAAACCGGAGCUAAUACCGGAUAAUAUUUUGAACCGCAUGGUUCAAACGUGAAAGACGGUCUUGCUGUCACUUAUAGAUGGAUCCGCGCUGCAUUAGCUAGUUGGUAAGGUAACGGCUUACCAAGGCAACGAGGCAUAGCCGACCUGAGAGGGAGAUCGGACACAUUGGAACUGAGACACGGUCCAGACUCCUACGGGAGGAAGCAGUAGGGAAUCUUACGCAAUGGGCGAAAGCCUGACGGAGCAACGCCGCGUGAGUGAUGAAGGUCUUCGGAUCGUAAAACUAUGUUACUAGGGAAGAACAUAUGUGUAAGUAACUGUGCACAUCUUGACGGUACCUAAUCAGAAAGCCACGGCUAACUACGUG